UUUCCGAAAGGAAGAGCAAUUGGUUUUGGUUGAGGGAUCACCACUUGGCUUACCAUUACAUUCGAAUUGAUGUUCUCAUCAGCAAAAUCAUCUUGGGGUUUAACCGCAUUUGAUUUUGGCAAGCUGAUGGGGUCCUUGCAAGGCUGAGGUUGCCAAAUUGAUGAAGAACCAAGGAAGGAGUCAAAGAGGCGGCUUUGUUCGACCCUAUCCCCUCCUCCUUUAUUCAUCAUCUCCGACUCAAGAUCCUGGAGCAUCUGCUGUGCCCUCUCAUAGGCCUUAAGAUGGGAAUCUACCCCUCUUGGUCCAUCAGCCACUGCUGGUUUCACUCUUCGCAAGGUUUCUUUAGCCUCCCCAAUUCUACCUUGCUUCAUCAAACAAAUACCGAGGUUACACAUCUUGUUAUUAUCGGCAGCAAUCGAAAGUGCCCGCCGAUAAGCAUCUUCUGCUUCGAUAUAGUUGCUUUGCUGCAUCAAUGCCCACCCCAAGUUUCCCUGAAAACGGAAAGUUUCUUAAAUUCAUGUAUCCGUUUUAAGGUUUACCAGCAAAGAUGAAAACAUUGAAGGCUUACCAGCAACCGUGUGGCUUCUUGCUCGACAGAGACCUGAAAUUUCUUUCCUUGAGAUCGGGCUGUCUUGGUGCGCUUUCCAUUGAAAGCCAGCCCUUGUUGAAUCAAAUACAAUUUGUGCUUCAACAAUGCUAUUUGGUCAUCCAACCUUCCACAUCUCUGUAGAAUUAUAAUAACCAUCUAUCUGUUAAAGACCAAUACAACUUGAUAUAAUAUUUAAUGUUUACAUCGGUGUAAAAAGACCUUGUAGAGAUCCAAUAGAAUGUUAUCAAGAGACUCCUGCGCUUGAUCUGAGCAUCUACUACGCAGAGACUUGAUAGCUUCAAUGGCUUCCUCUGCUCUAUUUUGCUGCUUCAUUACAAUGGCCAUGUCUUUCAAUGCACUAUCAACUCUAUCCCCUGCAUUUAUGGCUGCCCAAAACAAAGGAAUCGCCCUCUCCGGAUCUUUUUCCACCAACUGAAAACAAAAGUAAAAUUAAUAAAGAAAAUUUCAAGUCUUGUACAAUCAACUGGAAGACACCCAGGAACUUACUUGAACGUUCUUGGCUCUAACAUAAGGAGUGUCACCGACUGGGACUUUGUGGAUGGCAUGGAAGGACUCGGAGCGAGUUCUCAGAACCCCGAGGGGCUUCGCCGGAGAAGUGGGGGCCGAUUUAGAAGGCCUGAAUCCAGGAGGAGCGUUCCACACAUCUUGCAACAUCUUCGAAAACCCACUUUCUAUUUCUUAUUUCCUUUUAGUAUUUAUGAAAUUUGAUAUCGAAGAUGAAGAAAGAUAAGAGGGGAGUUUUUGAGAGAAGCGAAGCGAGUGCCAGUAAAAGGAUUUAGAGAGAGGUUUUAGGAUAAAAAAAAGUUUGAAAUUUUCGACCGUUGUGGUUACCGUUUUAGGUACUAGCCGUUGGCUAAAGCGUGGACUGAACAGGAUUUCUUCAAUAAUUUAUUUAGCCACAUAAGAAAUAUUUCAUAUUAUUAUAUUUAGGGUUAAUGUAGUAUUUACCCCAAAAUUGCACCCAAUUAUCACUUUCACACUUAAAGAAUUAUUUUAUCAGUUUAGUACUUGAAAUUUCAUUUUGUUAUCAGUUUUCCCCAGCAGUUAAUUACAUUAAAAAACUUUAUUUUCCUAAAAUAAUUUUUUAAAAAAAGAAAAUACGAAAAAAAAAGCAGAAAGUUCAGAAGAAUUCUAUUUUUUUUUAAAAAAAUCACAAUAAUACGUAGAAUUAUAUAAAAUCCCAGAAAUUAAAAAAUAUUUAUUUUUAUUUUUAAAAAUAAUUAAACACGUAAAAGCGAAAAUUAUAGAGUAAAUUAUUUAUCUUCUAAAUCAUGAUAGAGUAAAUUAUAGAGUAAAAAUUUGAAAUAAAAUUUAGUAUUUCUAUUUUUAUUUCAAGAAUUUAGUCAUUUUAUUUUUCAAAUUUAAAAAUUCAAAUCUAGUUGUUAUCAUCGUUAUUUUUUUUUAAAACAUUGGUGUGACAUUUUAAAUUAAAAUUUUCUAUUAGACCUUGUACUUUUUGUAAGUUGUUGAUUUAGUACUUGUACUUUGAUCAAUUUUAGUCCAUAUACUUUUCAAGUUGGUUAAUUUUAGUCAUUGUACUUUUCAAUUUUUGAAAAUUUAGUCCUGACCAAAUGGUAACAGUUAAAUUCUACUAUCAAUCUUGUAUUAUGCAUAAAGUUAGAGAUCUAGUCCAUGUUCUCCAACUGGAUCAUUCUUAGUUGCUAUUUUUUUUUAAAUUUCAAAUUUUUAAUUUUGUAACACCCCUUGCCUGGUCUGAUUGCCAAACCAAAGUUACAGAAUGUUACCAUAGUAAUCGGAACUGAAAACUUUAAAAAUAAAGCAUGCAACAUUCGCUCCUAUCUCAAUUGUAAUCAUAUGAUAACUUUCAAAUAGAAAUCGAGACUAAAUCAAGGUUACGAAAACUCUAUCAGUGACCUGGGCAUAACUUAUGACCAAAUUGUAAAGUUUUGAAAGUUUGAACUCCACAUCAUGAUGAACCAUUCCCACAUUGUGGUGUUGUUAACACAUUGAGUCAUGCCACAAUGUCAAACCACCUGAUGUCGGGAAGUCACAUACUUUCUUUCGACAUUGCGAGGAGGAAGGUUUCAUAACUGAGUCUAGAAUGAAUAAAAAAAACUAUUGAAUCGAAGAUUGGAUAAUGUGAGUUUCGAGUUGAUUUGAUUUUCACGUUCCGCAAAAGAUAACUACAUGAUAGGAAAACAACAACAUAGUAAGUAUUUAAAAUUCUUAACAAGUUCAUAAGCAUAGAAUGUUAACUUACCUUAUUUACAAAUUUAUAAAUAAUAUCUAAACAACUUGUUAAUUUGAACCUAAUCAUGACAAUACAAUUCUACGAGAUAGGAUUACUUGUUCACUUUUUAUACAAUUCAUGUACAUGUAACUCUAGUGUAACUCAAUACCUUAAAAGUAUACCAAGCUCAUUACAAAUUCAACCAUAGACACGUACAUAUUAUUCCAUAUUGAAAUCAUUUCUCUAUUACUGUUCAUUUAUCCUGAGGAACACUGGUAAAACAAAUAAGAGCACCGGAGUGCAAUUAGAGGCACCGGAGUGCAAUCAGUGGCACCUUUCUUUACAAAUCAAUUUGAAUAUUACCCUUUUGUACCAAUAUAUAUACGACUCAAAUUAUAUAUUCACAUGUACAAUUUAUAAUUAAAAUAUCUAUAAUAAUCAAAUGUAAUGAAGCUAUAUGAAUUUACCUGGCAAAAAUCAUGGUAAACAAAAAUGUCAGGGGCUAAUCCAUAAUUUUUUUCUUUUCCUCGAUUAUCUACUGGUUGUUUCAAAUAUUGAUCUAUACAGUAAUUCAUUUCAAUUUAUCAGUUUCAAUUACCUUAUAACACCUUAUUCUAUACAUAUGACAUUUUAAAUUUCACUUUGCACAAUUUUCCUAAAGUUUCACAUUUUAUUCAAUUUAGUCUUUAAAAUCAAAACUACCAUAACUUUCACAUUAAAGCUUUGUUUUUCAAUCCAUUUUCAAUUUCAUCCUUCUAUAACCCUCUGGAACCAAUAAUUACAAAAAUUUCAUAUCAAAUUUAAAUAAUUACAUCUUAGUCCCUAUACUCAUAACUAGAAAAUUCCAUUUUACAAAUUAGUCUUAUAUCACAUCUAAGCUUACAAUCAAACCAUAUAACACCAAAAACUUUAAAAGUCAUCAAUGAAAACAUUUCAAAAUUUUAAUAGUUUUACGAUCUAAUCCCCGAAUUAGCUAUAUCAAGCUCCCAAGAUUCCAAAAAUAUAAAAAUUACAAGAAACGUACUUAAAACGGUUUACCAAUCGAAAAUGGAAGCUUGAACGGCAAAACCCUUAUUCUUUUCUUCCAUGGACGGUUGAAGAAGAAGCAAAAUAAAGCUGGUGGCUUCUUUUUCUUUUGUUUUUCUUUUUAACUUAAAUUAUAACAUAUAUUUUAUUAUUUUAAUCUUUAAAAACAUAAAUUAACUCAAGAAAAUUGUUUAAAUAAAGCCACUAACCGUCCACCAGUAAUGAAACGUGGCUAAAUUAUUGCUUUGACUAUUACUAUUAUACUAUUUAGCACAUUUAAUUAAUAAAAAUGAUAGGGAUUAAUUUUUACUAUUUAGUCAUUGUACCUUAAUUACUAACUGUUCAAUAAAAUUAUUGGACCAAAAAUUAAUAUAACAAUAUAAUAGACUCAGAAAUAUUAAUUAAUAAUAUUUACCGAUCCGAUCAUAUGAAAACAGGGUUUUGAAAACACCGUUUUCGACACCAUUGAAAAAUGGAUUGUUAGAACUUUAAUAUAAACGACAAUCAUUAAUCUAUUAACUAUUUUUUUUGUGAGUAAUGUGUGAUGAUUACAAGCUAACAUGAUAUUACAUAUGCGAUAAUAUGUUUGAAGCAUCAAAUUUAAAAAAAAAAAAACUUAAUGAAUUUAAUAGUUACCAUUUGGUUAGAAAUAAAAUUUAAAAAUUCUAAAAGUAUAGGGAAUGUAAAUAACCAAAUUAAAGUAAAGUAUUAAAUCCACAACUUGCCUAAAGUACAAGGUCUAUAGUAGAAUUUGACAAAAAAAAAAUUCACUUGGUAGUUAUGUAGUUUAAAAUAUGCCAUAAAUCCUUGUACUCUUUGUAAAUUUGGAAUUUAGUCCAUGUUCUUUUAUCUCUAUGAAUUCAGUCACUCUACUUUUUAGAUUUUAAAAUUUAAGUCCAAUUGUUAACACUAUUAAAAUUAUUUUGUUAAAUUCAGGUUCAUUACAACGUUAUUCUUUUAGGGAAAUUUUUUUAGUUAAAUGGCUACCAAGUGAUUUUUUUUUAUUAUUUCAAAAUGUCAAACCAACAAAUUUAACGAAAAAAAUUUAAUGGUGUUAACAAUUUGCCCUGAAUUUUAAAAUCUAAAAAGUAGAUGAGACUAAAUUCUUGAAAUAAAAGUAUAAGGAUUAAAUUCUAAAUUUGUGAAAAGUACAAGGGCUGAUGACAUAUUUUAACCUUGUAUUGUUACAAAAACAAAAUAACAUUGAAAACAAGGGCGAAGCCAAAAACCUUUUUUUGGGGUCAGGAAGGGGGGAUUAUGCUAUAUAUUUAUGUAGGCAACAUUAGUACUCCUCCGACCAAUCUUCAUGUCUUGGCUUCACUAUGACUAUUCUCAAUGUGGGGCACGGAUGUCAUUGGUUCUAUCUCGCCAAAAGUCUUUAAUAGGCAUCAAUUCAUUUUUGUAGUGAUCGACUGUUUCACUUAGUAGGUUGAAGGAACAUCAUACACCAAUAUGACACAGUCAGUGAUUUGCAAGUUCUUGAAGAAAGAGGUUAUCUAUAAAUUGUUGGAAAAAUUCAAUUUGAAAACAGUUUUCUAGCACAUCAGAAAAAUAAAAUUUUGAAAAUCGGCCCGGUUUGUAAUAUCUAUAGUAAUAAACCCUAGAUCAGAAUCAUACUUGUGUUUCUGAUAGACGAGUCCUUGUUGUUCUCGACUUUCAACCAAAUGAUCUUUUCCGCUAUUUUUGUACCACUAACUACUUCAAAUGUGGGCUCGAACCAAUUGAAUCAAAACACAGAAUUAGAAAUUCUUCUCUUUUAUGAGGAAAAAAAAUUUCUCUUCUCAAAUAAAAAUCGGUAGAAUUGUUAUUCCGGAAAAAAUAUAUUUAAUAGUUGAGAAUAAAUUCUCUUUAUUUUUGGCAGAGUAACAAUAUCUUAAAGUUGUGUAAAUAGCUCUACCGGUGCCGUCUAUUUAUAGGAAGAUAAAAUAAAAACACAAGUAGGAGUAGGAGUUUAUUUCAACUAGAAAAACAACUUCCCACUUAAAAUAGGAGUAGGGUGGACAACAUCCCCUAGUAUUCCUACUAGGGUUGCCGCCCCUUCAUAUUCCAUUAGGGAAUUUUGGGCCUCUUUCACAUCGAGUCCAAUUAUGAGUACUUUCUGGACUUUUCGACCCAAUACUUUGUAAGCUGAUCCAACCUGAUUUUGUUUUUCUAUUUCCCAAAAAAAACUCUAAUAUUUAUAUUCAAUUAAAUAAUUUUGUCAUCCCAAUUUUACCUUUGGUAAAAUUAUGAAAAUCUUACCCCUGGUAAAAUUUUCGAGAAAAUAUAUUUAAUAUUUCACCAUUCAACUUAUUCACUAUGAUCGAACGGUUUAUUUUCAUUUUUGGGAUUUAAAAUAGCUCAAAAACAUAAAUUCAUUCUUCCGAUCAUUUCUAAGUAUUCCAUAUUCAUUUGCAAAUGAAUCAUUUCUCAUUUUCAUUUCCAUUUCGAGAAAACCACAUUCAUUUCCACAAGAUUUCAUUUCUUCAUUUCGGAGAAAACCAUAACCAUUUAUAAAUGUUUUCUAUUUCUCCAUUUCCAUUCAUUUUAUUCAUUUUGAUUUAGCAUGCAAUUCAUUUUUGGUUUCAACGAACUAGUAAAUGGACCGAUUGGACAUAUGCAAUUGAGACUCAAAUGAUCUAUAAUUAAGUUCCAACUUUUCACCUAUUAAUUAUAAACUGAUUUAGUCACAAAGUCAUUCCACUAUAGUAUCAUGACUGAGCUCUCCCCAACAACAUACCAUUAUGAAAGCAAUUUGAUAAGUGCUCGUCCAAUAACCUUGUCAUAAAUGUGUUACCCUCAUAGGAUAUCCUAAAUCUCUUUUGGGAUAAUAUUCAUUCUCCCAAUAUGAUCCUAUUUUAUCUCAUAGUAACCAUUACAUAUUCCUUCAUGAAAAGUCAAUUACUACCACACAGUAAUCAAGUCAUUCAUCACGAACGACCCGUAAUCACGUUUACUUUUCAUCAACUAUGUAAUGUUAGUGAGAAGAUAUCAUUUAUUCAUGUAUCAGGCUAUGAAUUCCACUGUUGUGGAUGACACUAUGUACUGUAGAAGCCGUACACCGAAUGCACCAGCUUUCAGUUCCUUAUCUAUUCAAACUCAUGCUUUUACUUACAUCAAAAUGUAAGAGUGACGCAUACAUAGUCUGUCAUCCACUCAAGAUUUAGGAAUGUCAAACUAUGAACAUCACAAAUGAACAAAUUCAUAAAUAGAUUCAAUGUCUAUUCUUCUUGGGUCAAAUUCGAUGUAUUGUCAGUCCAUUCAGCCACAUCUAUGUCUCUAUCUUUUGGGAGUCAUCUACUCCUGUAACACCCCUUACUCUAUCCGGUCACCGGACCCAAGUUAUAGAAUGCUAAAACAGUUAACGGAGCAAAUCACAUACAUUUCCAACUUUAAACAUUCAAUUAAGCACUAAAAACAACUCAUAAUCUACGCAUAAUAUGAUUUACAAACAAUUCCGAGUCUCAAUCAAGCUUAUGAAAGCUCUUAAACCAACCCGAGAACAAAUAAGGACUUAAUUGAAAACUUAACAAAAAGUAUAGAAAUUUCUACAAACAAGGGCCACAUGACCAUGUAAUAAGCUGUGACCGUGUGAAAAGGAGUCGCACGGUCGUGCAUCCAGGUUGUGUAUCUCACUGUAGCCAUGUGGACCUAAUGCAAAAAUUCAAUAAAAAUUACACAGUCGUGUAACAAAAUGAAACCAUGUGAAAAUUAGAUGACCAAAUCAGCAGUGCUCACACGCAUGUGUAUCCAGCCCGUAUGACAAUCGAAAAUCGUGUGGUACAUAUGCUGUAACACCCCUAACCCGUCUUCGUCACUGGAUUAGUGUUACGGACUAUUACUGUACAAUCGAAAACAUUUGAGCAUAAUAUCAUUCAAUAAUUUAGUCACAUCAUAAAUCAUUCAUACACAUGUAUAUUGUCCCUAAAUCGAGCCCUCGAGACCUUAAAAAUAACUUAGAAACAAUUCAAGACUAAUUUGAAACCAUUUGGAAAGUUUAGGAAAAAGAUGCAAAAUUUGAAAAACAGGGGUCACACUACCGUGUAACUUUCGAACUAGGGACACACGGUCGUGUCCCAGCCCAUGUCCUCACCUAUAUAACUCUUUGAGUAGGGUCAGACGGCCGUGUCACACGUUCAUGUGCCAAGCCGUGUAACUCUCUGAGUUGCCCUACACGCCCGUGUGCCAGGUUGUGUGUUAGGUCAUGUAACUUACUGACUUGCACCCUAAAGAAAUCAUUAGAUGACACACUGAGUCACAUGCCUGUGUCUUAAGCCGUGUGGACUCAAAUCUACCUAAAAUCAAGCCAUUUCCAAGACCAUUUCAUGCAUGACCUUUCAACCCAUUUAAACAUACUUUAAAGUACCUAAAAAUCACCAAAACACACUUCAAAAUAUCAUUUCAAGAUCCUAAUUCAACUAACCAAUAUGCCAUUCAAAGGCACCUUAAAUGCAUACAAACAACACCUACCUAAACAUGUCAGUAUUACCACAUUUCAAGCAUCAUAUCCUAGUUCCAUACUACCCAAAGCAUGCCACAAAUUUGACCAUUAUCAUACCAUUCUAAACAUACCAUAAAAAUCCAUACAAACAUGUAUAGUGAGGUAACCAAAAUGACACAAUUUGACAAGGCAUCAAAUGGUACCAAACCAAGAUAACUUUCAAAACUUAUACAUGCCAAAGCACCAACAAAACAUUUAUCAAAAUACCAUUACAUCUCAUCCUAUACAUGCCAUUAUAAACAUUAGCCAAAAUGCUCAAAAGCUACCAAAAAGACUUCUAGAUAGUGGGAUAGAUCUUCGACGAGCUUCCAAACCAAUUGAGCUUUCGAUAAUCUAUAAAACAAAGGAAAAAUAACUACGUAAGCAAUGAAUGCUUAGUAAGCUUGUAUAAACCAAACUAAACUUACCAUUUCAUUUGCGUAAUAUAAAGCAUAAGCAUAAAAUCAGCCAUAACCUUAAGCUUGGCAUAAGCCUAUACAACAUCAUCAAAUUCACAAGUUAGUACACUUGUUCAUAUAUAUAUGAGAUCAUCCAUAGGAUAUGUGGUUCAUCAUGUAUAAAAGUAACAUUUUGCACCUUCAAUGUUCCAUAAUGUCAUGAUUCAUUGUGUUUACAUACUUACGAUUUCCUUUUUCCUUUUCUUGAUCAUUGAACCAUCUAGAAUUACAUCGAAUACUCGGGAAAGCUUACACGAAAUGUACCUUUACAUAUAACUGUAACCUUUCCUUUACAUUAUUGCUCACACGAGUUGUGAAAUGGGUCUGCUCACACGAGCUAUAGGUCGAAACGUAAGUUACACGAUGCUACACACACGAGCUGUGGAGAAUCCAAAACAAAUGCAGGAACUCAACCAUCAGUAGGACAUUCAAGACCAACACCCAAAACAUGAAAUCCCUAAUGACAUGUCAUUUGUAUCCUAAGAAUUCCUGAGGUUCAACCAGGACUCAAUAUCUGUCAAUUCAUCAUAACAUUGAUACAUUUAUAUAUCAAUCCAUUUACAUUAAAAUAACACAGUAAACAUUCAAUUCAAAUAACAUUAAUACGAUAACUGUUCAUACGAACUUACCUCGAUGACUAGGGAGUAGAAGUUAGGUCGAACUAAUUCAAAGCUUUUGCUUUUCCUCUAUCUGGUUCCGUACGUGGUUUAUCUUGAUCUAAAUGGAAAUUUUCAAUCAAUUUAAUACUUCUAGUAUUCAAUUUAAUCCACUUCAUAUUUAUGCAAAAUUAUCAAUUUUCCCCUAACAUUUUAACUUUUCACAAUUUAAUCCUUAAGCUCGUAAUUUGAAAUCUAACCAUUUUCAUCCUCCAUUCAAGCUAGCCGAAUUUCAUAGGGACCUAUACCAACUCAUUUAAACCAACAUUUCAUAAUUUUAACAUGAAAUUUUACUAUUUUCACAAAUAGAUCCUUAAAUGUAAUUUCAUAAAAAAUCACUUAAUAAAACUUGUUUAUUUUUCAACAAAGAUUCAUAAUCCAUCAACUAACAUCAAAACCUAACCAAAAACAUUCAUGGAAAGUCUCUCAAACUUUAACAAUUAUGCAAAUUAACCCCUAGGCUAGCUAGAUUAAGCUAAAAGGAACUCGAAAACAUAAAAAUCAUUAAAAACGGGGUUGAAAUCACAUACCAUACAAAUGUUUAAGCUAGCCGAAACUUCAAGCCCUAAAAUGGAAGUUUCUUUCCUUAAUUUCAAUGGCGAAAAACAUUGUAGAAGAUGAUACAAAUUUUUACCUAUUUUUAGUUUAAGUUAAUUUAUCAAAUUACCAAUUUAACCUUAGUCAUUAACUUUAAUAAUCACUUAAAUUAUGUCCAUAUUUGUCCACUAACCUUAUGAAUGGUAUAAUUAUCCUUUAAGUCCAUUUACUAACAUUUCCAUAUUCAUUUAGCCCUUUUACUUCAUUAACUAUGUAAACUUCAAAAUUUCUUGACAAAAUUUUAAUACGACCUUAAUUUAAUCACGAUGACAUUAAAAUAAUAAAAUAAUAAUUUACUUGUCAAAAUUGUGGUCUCGAAAUCACUGUUCCGAUAUCACUAAAAAUGGGCUAUUACAUAUGCUUUCUAAUUUCUAAAGAACACACAAUCGUGUCACUAGCCUGUGUGUAACACACGGCCAUGUGUCAAACUGUGAGGUGCAAAAACUGUGCCUUUUGGUGUGAGCUACUGACAUCAAUACCUUAAUUGGAUCAUGCAUGCACUUCUAUCAACUUUGAGACCUGUUUAAAAUGUACAAUACCUACCAAUACAUACCACAAACCAACAUCCCUAACACUUAACCAUUAUGCUUCAAUGGCACCAUCACAUGUCAUGAAUCAAUUCAAAUAAUUAAUCUCAUUUCAUGCCAAUUUAGACUACAACCAGAUAGGUUCACUAUAAACAAUCAAAACACUAAGUUAUAGCCACCUAUAAAUGGCCAUAUUACCAAAACCAACCAUACAUAAAUUUAGUACCAAAUUCACACCCAAGACCUAUACAAAUUCCACAUUUAUAUCACUUUAAACAUGUACCUAGAAUCGUACACAACCCACAUACCAAAGUUCCAUUCAAUUCAAUUAUUAGGGGAUACCAAACAACCAUUGAUAUACCUAUAUAGUAAUUACAACCAUUUUAGCAUUAAAAGACAUUUUGUGACCAAAGUGACAAGUCUCAAAACCAACAUCAACACUUAUAUACAUUACACAUGUAUUUAUAUAAAAAGUAACUAAUUCAAGUUGCAAUCCACAAUAACAUAUAGUUAUAGACACCUAUUUACAUGCCAUUUAUAACUGUGCCAAAAUGAUCAAAAGUUGACAGAACUGAUUGGUGGUUAGUGUGAGCUCAGACUUGAUCCAACUGAAUGCUCAAUUUCUGACAAUCUACAAGGAUGAAAAUGAAACAAAGGUAAGCAUACUCAAAGCUUACUAAGUUCGUACAAAAAUUAACACAACUUACCCGACAUUCUAUAAUUUAAGAAUUGAACAUAAUAAUAUAAAACAUGGUAUUCAUUGAUACCUUACACAAAUUAUGUCAUAGGCAAUAUGAUCAGUACUUUAUCACAUUUAAACAUAACAUGUAUAUAAGUAAACAUAAUAAUCAUAAUAAAUUCAUGAAUAACAUUCAUAAACAUAUGAGUUCUCUUUCGAUUCAAUUUCAUGGUUUUUUAUCGCCUGAAGAACUACAGCAAAUUAACCUCGGAUACUCGAGAUAGAAUUGCUCACAUGAGCUGUGAAAUAUCCUUUCUCACACGAGUUGUAAAUCGGGACAUUAACCUUUAGUUGAUACUGCUCACACGAGUUGUAGGGAAUCCGCAACACAUGCAGGAUCUUAGCCAUGGGUAAGGUAUCCAACACCGGUACCUAGUACCUGAUAAAAUAUAAACACCGGUACAAAGUACCUGCUCUAUUAUAAACCCUAAUGACAUGUCAUUUGUAUCCUAAUCAUUCACCAAGCUCACAGGGCCUUAAUUCCAUAUUCGUUAUAUUUAAAUCCUUUAUCAACUUCAUAUACAUAUAACAUCACCAUUUGCGUUCACAUAUUUACUUAUAUUUAUCAAAACUUCAUUUCACAAUUAGUCCUUCAAUGUCAAACUUUAUUUCACUUAUAUAUAUAUUAUGAACAUAAAAAAAUAUUAAUCGAAACAAACCUCAUAUGAACUUACCUAACCAAAAAUGGCAACAAACAUGACACCAAGGACUAUUUUGUAGUUUUUCCUUUUUUCACGUUUAUUAAUCGAUUGAUCUAUUUCUUGAUCUAUAUAAUAAUUUAAUUCAAUUAUCAUCUCUAAAUACCUUAUAAUGCCUAAAUAUAUACAUAUGGCCCUUUAAUAACAUUUUACAACAUUUCUCUAAACUUUUGCAUUUUAUUCAAUUUAGUCCUAAAAUUGAAACUAACAUAUUUUUUUAUAAUUAAACCCCAUUUUUCAAUCCAAUUUCAAUUUUAUCCUUUUAUAGCCCUCUAGAAUCAAAUAUUAUAGAAAUUUUAUGUCAAAUUUGGCAUAAUUACAAUUUGGUUCUUAAACUUAAAACUAACUAAAUCCACUUUACAAAUUAGUCUUACUUAAAAUCUAAGCUUAACAUGCAACCAUUUAUCAUUAAAAAAUUCAAACAUCAUCAAUGAAAAAAUUUCAAAACUUUAACAAUUUCGUGAAAUAGUCUCUGGGCUAGUUAAAUCAAGCUCUCGAGAUUUUAAAAACAUAAAAAUUUCAAGAAGCGAGCUAGAAUUCACUUACCAAUCACAAUCGAAAGCUUUGAGACCUAAGAAAGCUUUAAAAAAUGGUGGUUUCAAUGGAAGGUUGAAGAUGAAAGUAUGAUUUCUCUCUCUUUCCACCUUAACCUAUUAUUUUAUUUUAUUUUAUUUAAACAUAAUUUAUGAUAAUUUUUUUAAUCCAUCCAAGUUUACCAAACCGUCUACCAUAUUUAAUAUUGGCUUAGUUGCCAAUUAAAUCCCUAGAGAUUCAUUAUUUAAUCUUUUUUUCAACUAAAAUUCAAUAGAGACUAAGUUUUACAAUUUUUACGAUUUAGUCUUUAUACCAUAAUUAACCAUCUAAUCACUAAAAUUUCUGAACCAAAAUUCAAUAUAACGCUAUAAUAGACUCAUAAAUACAACUUUGAUGCCUAAGACAAAGCAUCUCCCAAAUAGACUUGAUAUAUGAAAUAUUAGUCUUUCAAUCGAUUUGCUUAUUUUCAAUCAAACUAAAGACAUGUUUAGGUUCAUUUACUAAUACAAGUUGUCUUUCCAUAUCACGAUCCAAACACGUGAUACCGCACAGUAUUAGUUUAAACAUUAGACAACCAAUGAGCAACAUUUUCUUCCAUUUUAUUUUACGUGCAAAAAUCAUUUGAGGACAAUCAUACAAAGUAUAUUAAUGUAAUUAAUGAAUUUCUUUUUAUUAAUCAAUUUAUUCAAAAAAUUAAAAGUGUACUUAGAUGAAAAUACUACACUUACGACACCAGAUCCAACAUAAAUAUGGUUUGCCAGAAAGAAUCAUUUUAAAUAAUUCCAAGAGUUUUAACAAUGUAUUGAUGAAGAAUUAUGUUCACAAUUUAAGAUAAAGCAUCACAAUUCUGAAUCAUAUCGUCCCAAAAUGAACGAAGCAAUAGAGGCUGUAACACCCUUAACCCGUCUCUGUCACCAAAUUAGGGUUACGGAGUGUUACGAUACAAAAUAAAACAUUUAACUUUAAUACAGAAUAAUAAUUCAACUUACAAAUUAAUUUUUAAUUACUCAAUUUAAUCAUGGAAAUAACACACAUUUGGGCCUUAAAUCGAGCAUUCGGGACACUAAAAACAAUUUGGAAACAAUCAGGGAUCAAUUUAAAACAAAUCAAAAAAUUAUGGAAAAAUAUGAAAAAUUUGAAAACAAGGGUCACACAGCCGUGUGGCUAGGCUGUGUGGCAUAGCCCAAAUCAUGUGGACAAUCGAGGUAGGGUCACACGGCCGUGUCCCAGCCCAUGUGUAUAUUCAAAAUUGGGUCACACGACUGUAUCACAAGCCGUGUACCAGACCGUGUAACUCACUGACUUGGUACACACAGCCUUGUCUUAGACCGUGUGCCAGACUGUGUGAAACCUGCACCUAAAAUAAAAAAAUGACACACAGUCGUGUGGCCAGACCGUGUGACAGCCGAUGUCCCAGGCCGUGUGCUUCAUACUUAGCCCCUAAAAUAAGCUAUUUCAAGGCCAAACCUUGCCCAACAAGCUACUUCAUUUGUGCAACAUUCGAUAGACCUAAACGCAUUUCAAACACUCAUAAACAUACUAAUUCAAUCAACCUAAUUCUCUUAACCAAUAUGUCAUUCAAAGGCACCUCAUUUAUACCAAAACAACAUCAAUUAAAACAAAGUUAUAAAGUCACUUCUCAAUCAUAAAGUAGAGGUAAGAUAGCUACCUAGUAUCAACCAUUAUCAAGCCAUUUCAUUAUUCAAAAUAUUCACAUCAAAAUGACCAUUUGCAUGUAGUCUUUAACAUAAACAAGCCAACUAUACUAUAUAGGCAUACAACCAUUUACAAAAGUAACCAAAACACAACAAAAGUAUAAAUGACAUUAAACCCUAUACAUGCCAUUUAUAACCAUAGUUCAUAAUAAUAAAAAACUACCAAAUGUGAUCGCGGGAUAAUGUGAUAGGUCUCCGACAAUGUUCCAACUGAUCAAUCCUCUGAUGAUCUACAAAACAAAAAACAACUACGUAAGUAACAAGUGCUUAGUAAGUUCGUAUAAACUUAAACAAAAACAUAACUUUUUUAAACUCAAUUUAUAACUUAUGCAUAAAAUCAUUACCAUGCUCACAAGCUUAAUGAACUCCUAUUUACAAUACCAAACUCACAAGUUAGUAAGUUCAUACAUAACUCAUAUACUGUCAAUCAUACCAUGGAACAUAUCAUGAAUGAAUUUACAUAUGCACAACAUUCAUCAUAUUUUUAGUUACUUCCAUUUUCAAUCUAUUUGUAUUUAGCAAAAUUACUUUUUCAUAAGAUUAUGAAUAACUAUCAAUUUGCAAACAUGUCUUUCCAUUAUUCAUUUCUUACCUGUUGAACUAUCUAGAAUUUCAUUGGAUACUCAGGAAUGCUCACACAUAGUGUUCCUUUUCAUGCAAUCAUAACCUUUCCUUUUAAAUAGUGCUCAUAUAAGUUGUAACGUGGGUCUGCUCACACGAGCUGUGGGUUGGAAUGUUAGCUACACGAUGCUGCUCACACAAGCUGUGGAGAAUCCGCAACAAAUGUAGGACCUCAGCCAUUGGUAGGACAUUCAAGACCAACACCUCAAACCGUAUAACCCUAAUGACAUGUCAUUUGUAUCCUAAGAAUUUUGAAGGUUAAAACGAGAUUACUUAACCAUCAUCGGUCAAAACAUCGUGAUAUUUUUUAGUCCAAUUAUAUUCAACAUAUUAUAACAAAUAAUCAAUCAAACUAUAAUUAAUAAUAUUAUAAUUCAUACGAACUUACCUCGCUACGAUGAUCGUUUUAAAAAGUCGAAAACUAAUCCAACACCUUAACUUUGCCUCGAUGUAAGUCCAGUUGUUGCGUAUCUUGAUCUAAAUAAUAAUUUCAUUCAAUUAAGUACUUAAAAUAACUUCAAUUAUUCAAUUCAAUCUAUAAUUCAUAUUAUCGUGAAACUAUAAAAUUGCCCCUCCUAUUUUUAAUUUUUUCACAACUUAGUCUUUAAGCCCAUAACCUGAAAUUUUACCCUUUUUUUUUUACCUAAAAUAUGUUAGCCGAGUAUUCACUAUACUCAUAUCCAUCCACAUUUUUCUUCAUUUUACAAAAUAAUAUGAAUUUCACCAUUUAAACAAUUUAACCCCUAAACCUUAAAUUCUCUAAAAAGUACUUAACAAAACAUAUUCAUUUAACAAUCAAAAUUAAUAAACUAUCAAUUAACAUCACAAACACAUCAAUCUCAUUCAUGGAAUAUCCCUCAAACUUUAACGAUUUUGCAAAUUAACCCCCGAGCUAACUAGGUUGAGCUAAAACGAGCUCAAAAACAUAAAAAUCAUUAAAAACGGAGGUCAAAAUCUUACCAUGCAUAAAAAAAUUGCUUGACUGAAGCUCUCCCCUUUCUUAACAAUGGUGAACCAUUUUUAGGGCUAUGAAAUUGAUGAAGAUGAUGUUUAAUUCAUCUUUGUUUAAUUAGUCUUAACUUGUUUUAUUUUAUUACAAAACUAACCUUUAAAAUCUAUUAAAAUUUCACCUAAAACCUUACCAUAACUAUCCACUUACUUGAAAUAGGGUAAUACUACCAACUAAAUUCUUUUGGUUUAUACUUCUAAGGCCAUUUAAUCCAUUUAAUUAAUUGAAACCAUCUUUUACAUCUUUCACGAUUUAGUCCUUUUACCUAAUUAACCAUUUAAACUGUAAAAUUUCUUAAUGAAAAUUUAAUAUUACCUUUUAAAUUAAUCCUAAAAACAUUAAAUUAAUAUUAAAAUAGUUACUCACUCGUCAGAGUCGUGGUCCCAAAACCACUAUUUUCGACACCAUUGAAAAUGGGUUGUUACAGAGGCAACGAAUAAAAACAUCAAGAAGAUUAUUUCCAAGACCAUUGAAACAUAUAAGGAUUGGCAUGAGAAACUCUCAUUUUCCUUGCACGCAUAUCAAAUAUUUUUUAGGACUUACACUAGGGAAACCCCUUCUCGUGUAUGGUAUGGAAGUCAAAAUUUUGUUGGAUCUGGUGUUCUGAGUGUAGUAUUUUCGUCUAAGUACACUUAUAAUUUUUUUUGAACAGGUUGGUUAAUAAAAGUAUUCAUUAGUUAAAUUAAUACUUUGUAUAAUUGUCCUGAUGUGGGUUUUGCACGUAAAGAAAGAUAGAAGCAAAUGUUGCUCGCUGGUUGUCUAAUGUUUAAACUAAUCCUAAGCGGUAUUACCUAGUCAAAUUGUAAUACGAAAAGACAAAUUAUAUUAGUAGACGAACCUAAACAUGUCCUUAGUUUAAUAGAAAAUGAGCAAACUAAUUGAAAGAUUAAUAUGUCGUCUAUCAAGUCCAAUUUGGGAGAUGAUUUGUGUUGGGCUUCAGAGUGGAUGACUUCCAAAAGAUAGAGACAUAGAUAUGACUGACUGGACUGGCAGUACAUCAAACUAGACCCAAGAAGAAUAAAUUCUAAAUCCGUUUAUGGAUUUAUUCACUUGUGAUGUUCAUAGUGUGGCAUACCUAAAUCCUGAGUGGAUGACAGGCUAUGUACGCGUGACUCGUAUACUUUGAUAUAAGUAAAAACCUGAGUUCAAAUAGAUAAGGAAUCAAAUGCUAGUGCAUUGGGUAUACGACUUCUGUAGUAUGUAGUGUUAUUCACAACAAUCGAAUUUAUAGCCCAAUACAUGGGUAAAUGAUAUCCUCUCAUUGGCAUUACAUGGUUGAUGACAAGUAAAUGGACGGGUCAUUCCUCUUUGUGAUGAAUGACUUGAUUACUAUUUGAUAGUAAUUGACUUUUCAUGAAGGAAGAUGUAAUAGUUACCAUGAGAUAAAAUAUGGUUAUAUUAGGAGAAAAAAUAUUAUCCCAAAGAGAUUAAGGAUAUCCUAUGAGGGUAACAUACUUAUGACAAGGUUAUUGGACGAGCAUUGAUCGAGUUGCUUUUGUAAUGGUAUGUCGUUGGGGAGCUCAUUCACGAUACUAUAAUAGAAUGACUUCAUGACUAAAUGAGUUUACAAUUAAUAGGUGAAAAGUUGAAACUUAAUUAUAAAUAGUUUGAGCCUCAAUCGUAUAUGUCCAAUCGAUCUUUUCGCUAGCUCGUUGAAACCAGAAAUGAAUUGCAUUUUAAAUCAAAUGAACAGAAAUGAAAAGAAAAGGUGAAAAUGGAAGAAUGAGAAACAUUUGGAAAUGAUUAUAGUUUUCUCCAAAAUGAAAUAUGGACAAAUGAAUGUGGUUUUCUCCAAAAUGAAAAUAAAGAUAAAAAUGGAGAAAUGAAAUUAUUUGGAAAUGAAUUUAUAUUUUUUGAAUUAAAUGAAGUUCAAAAAUUGAAAUAAAUCAUUUGGUUAUAGUGAACCGUUGAAUAUGGAAAUAUUAAAUAUAUUUUCUCAUAAAUUCUUUUACAGUAUAUUCAUCAUGAUUUUAAUGGAAUUAGAAUUGGAUUGAGAAGAUUACUUAAUUAGAAAUAUAUUGAGAUGUUUAUUUUGGGAAAUACAAAAAAAAUAUCGGAUUAGAUCGAAUUAUAAAGUAUUGGAUUAAAAUUCUAGGAAGUACUUGUAAUUGGACCUGAUAUGAGAGAGACCCAAAAGCCACUCAUGAUAAGGGUGGGACGACAAACCCUAGUAUUUUUAACUAAAUACUAAAUAGACUAGGAGUUAAUUUUUCUAGUUGAAAUAAACUUCUACAAUUCAACAAGAGUUCUGCCUUCUUUCUCUAUAAAUAGAUGGCACCAGUAGGGCUAUUUACACAACUUUAAGAUAUUGUUACUUUUUUCGAAAAUAAAGAGAAUUUAUUCUCAACUAUUAAAUCUAUUUUUGAGAAUAAUAAUUAUAGCCAGUUUCUAUUAAAAAGAGAAUUUUAAUUUUUACACUUAAACAAAGAAAACUAUUUCUGCUUCUGUGUUUUGACUUGAAUCGUUCGAGUUUAUACUCAAAGCAGUUCGUGGUAAGAAAAUAGCGAAGAAGGCCGUUUGGUUGAAAGCCAGGAAUGAAAAUGAUCCGUCUAUCCGAAAGCACAAGUGUGAAUUCAAUUUAAGGUUUACUGCUAUAAAUAUCAUAAAUUGGCUCAAUUUUCAAAAUUUUAAUUUUUCGUUGUGCAAGAAAACCGUUUUUGAAUCGGAUUUUUUCCAACAAAUUCCUUCACUUCAGAUCUUAAGGGGAGUAUAGUUAAAAGAAGCCAAAUGGGUAAGAAAGAUACGAGAAGUUGAAUCUAAUUGAAAAGAAGAGGUUAGUAGCAUUGUGUAAUGAGCAAUUGUAUCAAAGAAGAAUAAUGAGAGCUCAUAAUAAGAAAGUUCACCUAAGGCAAUUCAAGGAAAAGUAAUUGAAAUUGAAGAAAAUCCAAUCGUAUGUAUAUGAUCAUCGCAGUAAAUGGACACCUAAGUGGGAAGGUCUGUAUGUAGUGAAAAGGAUUUCUCAAGAGGAACAUUCAUACUUGCUAAAAUGGAUGGAGAAGAGAUGUCCAACCCCUAAAUUAUGAUGCAAUGAAGAAAUACUAUGCUUAAUAUUUUGUUAUAAGGGAAACUAGAAACUAGAGUAAAAAAUGUUUACUUUUUGCAAAUGUUUUCUUAAUGUAAUAUUUAUACUAAAGUGAUAAUGACAAUUUUCUUUAUUUUUCCUUUACUUGUUUAAAUUUAUAUCCUUCAUUAAACCACUUUUGAGCUUGUUAGAUUUUAUUUAAAUAAACCUUAGCUAAAGAUCACCAUUUACAUUUGAAGGCCAAUUUUGAAGCUCCAAGAUUGUCAGGGCAAAACUAGAAUUUAGAAUCUCGUGCAUAUUUAUUAGAGGAUGACUUCUUAAUAAGAUUAAUCAUGUUUGGAAUGAUAAAUGGAAUUCCAUUGUUUUUCCUUUCACGUGAAGAAAUUGUAUCCUUUGUUACCCCUUUUAAGCCUGAUAUAUUUUCUUUCUCAAACCUAAUUAAAAUUAUCAAUCAAAUAUCAUGGAUUGACAAGAAAAAAAUCAAGAGGAAUAAAAGUGAAAAGAUUUUGAAGUUUUGAAGUGUUGAGAUCUAGUGCCCUUAGUGUAAUGAUUCCGUCUAUGUACUUGUAAUUUGUUCGAACAAAUUAGUUUAAUAAAAAUCCAUCAUUAUCAUUAAUAUCUUUUGUAUAUUAUCCUCAACGAUUUUUGCACACAAAUAAAAUGAAAGCAAAUAUUAACUCAAUGAUUAUCUAACAUUUAAACUAAUAUUAAGCGACAUUACAUGGUUGAAUCGUAAUGCAAGAAGACAACUUAUAUUAGUAGAUAAUCUAAAUAUGUCCUCAGUCUAAUCGAAAUUGAGCAAGUCGAUUAAAGACUAAUAUGUUGUCUAUCAAGUCCAAAUGGGGAGAUACCUUAUCUUGGCUAUCGGAGUAGAUAAAUCUCAGAAGAUAAAGACAUUAAUGUGACUGAUUAGAUUGACAAUACAUCGGAUAGGUCCCAAGUAGAGUAGAUCCUAGAUUCAUUUACAGAUUUAUUCACUUGUGACAUUCAUAGUGUGACAUACCUUAAUCUUGAGUGGAAAGUGGACUAUGUAUGCGUGACUUGUGUACUUUGAUGUAAGUGAAAGUCUGAGUUCAAAUAGAUAAGGAAUCGAAAGCUGGUACGUUGGGUAUAUGACUUUUGUAUGAUGUAGCAUCAUUUUGCAAUAAUGGAAUUCAUAGCACAAUAAAGGGUAAAUAAUAUUUUCUCAUCAACAUUACAUGAUAGAUGAAGAGUAAUGUGGCCAUAGGUCAUUUGCCUUAGAGAUAAAUAAUUUAAUUAAUAUUUGUUAGUAAUUGACUUUUCAUUGAGAAAGAUGUAAUAAUUAUCGUGAGAUAAAAUAUGAUCAUAUUCGGAGAACGAAUUUAUCCUAAAGAGAUUAAGGGUAUCCUAUUAGAGUAAUACACAUAUGAUAAGGUCAUUGGACGAGUACUUUGAUAAGUUGCUUUUGUAAUGGUAUAUUAUUGGGAGAGCUCAGUCAUGAUACUUUAGUGGAAUGACUUCAUAACUAAAUAAUAUCGUAAUUAAUAGACGAAGAGUCAGAACUUAAUUAUAAAUUAUUUGAGCCCUACUUAUAUAUGUCCAAUUGGUCAUUUUGCUAGCUCAGUAUAACCUUGAGAGUUUACAUUAAUUAAUGAAAUGAAAUUUAGUGAAACAACGAAUGAGAUAAUUAGAUUGCAUGUAACACCAUCUGUAGUGAAUCCGUUUUCUUGCUAUAAACAAAAAAAUGACUAGGUAAUUAAUUAAUGAAUUUGAAUUGUUAUUUUGUUAAAUAUUUGAAGUUUGAAGUGGAAAUUAGUUGAUAAAGUCAUCAUAGUUUCAUAAGAACAAUGUUAGAUAUUGACCCGAUUAAGUAAGGAACAAGUAAAAAUAACAUAACAAAUUGAGAAAUUGAACACAAAUUUAACGUAAAAAAACUCCUCCAAAAAGGUUAAAAAAACCACGGGCAAAGAUAAUUUUACUAUAAUGGCAAAAGAAACGAAUAGUACAAAAAGAUGGAGAUAAAAACUAAACCCCGAAAACCCGAAAACAAAAAACCCUCAAAACGUAAACACAAAAUUCUCUAAAUGUGUUUUGAGUUCUAAUAUCUAAUGGGUGUAUUUUCUAAGGUUGUAAAAGAGCCUAUUUAUAGGCUAAAUUCAUAUGUCAAAUAAUAAUAAAAUAAUCUAAACUAAUCAGUGUUUGAUUGAAACAAAUAAACAAAGAUUAGAAGAUUAUUUCUCAAAUUUGACUGAAAUAUGAGUCAUACUUAACAAAUCUCCACCUUGACUCAUAUUUCUACAAUGCCAUCUUUGUCAAAGCUCGCCACGAGCCUCUCUUGAACUAUGCAGGGAAUUAACCGAAUCGAAUCUAUGCUUAGAAACUGGAAGACUUCUAGCCUUCAAUUUGUACACUGCCAAAUCAAAACUAACCAGGGUCUGAUUUUCACGAACACAGUGCCCUAACUUUUCAAAACCUGCAUCCAAAAGAGAAUCUCUCUUCAACGAAACGGUCAUACAUUUUUCCCUCCUAUGACCAAGUUGCCUCCACUCCAAACGAGUUGGCUUCGACUCUGUAAUGGACGAGGGAUGUCUGAUUUUACCAGUCACUGUAGAACUUUCCAGAAUAUAAAGAUUGCCAGUUCUUUUACCUUUUAACAAAACGAGAGCUCCACGAGAUACUUUAAUGCCGCUCGACUCGAUGUUGUUUCUGCAUCCUUUCAAGGCUAAAAUACUCAAGGAGAUGAGAUUCUUUUGUAAAUCAAGUACAUACCUGACAUCUGAGAGUGUCCUAAUCUUCUCAUCGUAUAUCAUAAUUUUAACAGUACCAAUACCAAUUACCUUACUAGAUGAAUCGUUUCCCAUGCGUACAACUCCACCUUCAACCGAACUGUAUAUGGAGAACCAUUCUCUAUUGAGAUGCAUGUGGAAAGAACAUCCCAAAUCUAGGAUCCACUCGGACGUGAGCUUGGAGUUAUCACUUAUUGACACUAACAAGAAAUUAUCACCGCUCUCAUCGGCCAAAUUAGCACCAGCUACAUCUUCCUCGUUACUCUCAGCAGCUCUUUUAUUUCGCAGGUUAUAACAAUCUACUUUGACGUGACCUAACUUUUUACAAUAACGACACCUUUUGUCUCGUUUCUUUGAUGCUAUCAAAACGGAAGCUUGCCUAUCUGCCUUGCUAUCCAAAUGAAGCUCAUUGUUGAGUUUGUCUCUACUCAACAAAUGACCCUUCACAUCUUCAAACGAGAGUUUGUCUCUGCCAUAAAUCAGGGUCUCCCUGAAAGACUUGUAUGAAAGGGAUAAAGAGCACAAUAAUAGCAUAGCUUGAUCUUCAUCAUCAAUAUGAACCUCAGCGUUCUUUAAAUCAUUUAAAAGAGUAAUGAAUUGACUGAUGUGAUCUCUAAGAAGCUCACAUUCGUUCAUGCGAAACGUAAAUAGAUGUUGUUUCAACACUAAACGGUUAGCCAGAGACUUAGUUGCAUAAAGAGUUUCUAACAUUUUCCAUAAGGAAGAUGAGGUAUUCUCUAUCAAUACCUCCUGCAAUACUGUAGUCGUGAGACACAAUUGGAUUGCAGACAAAGCCUUUUCAUCAAGCUCUUCCCAUUCUGUUUUAUUUAGAUUCUCAGCUUUUUCCCGGUAACAACCUUUUCAAACCGGAUUGAACUAGAAUUGCCAUCAUCCAAACUUGCCACAGAUUGAAAUUUGUCUCACCAUCGAACUUAUCAAUUUCAAACCUUGUUGCUGCCAUAUAUGAAUAGGCUGAUUUACGAAAAUUGAACUAGCUCUAAUACUACUUGUUAAAGAUUAACCCGAUUAAGCAUGGAACAAGUAAAAAUAACAUAAGAAAUUGAGAAAUUGAACACACAAAUUUAACGUGGAAAAACUCCUCCAAAGAGGAUAAAAAAAAUCAUGGGAAAAGAUAAUUUUACUAUAAUGGCAAAAGAAACGAAGAGUACAAAAAGAUGGAGAUAAAAACUAAAUCCCGAAAACCCGAAAACAAAGAACCCUCAAAACGUAAACACAAAAUCCUCUAAAUGUGUUAUGAGUUCAAAUAUCUAGGGGUGUGCAAAAUUCGGGUAAAACCGAAAAAAUUCGGUUAACCGACCGAAUUCGGUUAAUCGGUCGGUUAACCGAAUUUUUUCGGUCGGGGGUCGGUUAAUUAUUUUUUAAUUUUUCGGUUAACGGUUAAUUCGGUUCGAAACCGGUCGGUUAACCGAAUUUUUUUGGUUAACCGAAAAAAUUAAUAAAUAAAAUUAUAAUAUAUAAAUAGGUCACUAUUCAUCUAAACCCAAUCUAAACCCAAGUAUUUAACCCAACCCAAUUACCCAACCCAACCCAAUCAUAAAAUUAAAUUACAAAUAAUUUAAUAAAUAAAAAUAAAAUUUUAAAACUAAGACUAAAACUAAAGUCUAAAAGUCUAAAAAUAAUUUAAUUAUGUAGUGAUUCAAUUUGGUUAAUUCGGUUAAUUCGGGUAAUUCGGGUAAUUCGGUUAAUUCGGGUAAUUCGGUUAAUUCGGUUAAUUUGGUUAAUUUUUAACCAAAAAUAAAAAAAAAACAUAUAAUUUUCGGUUAAUUCGGUUAACCGACCGAAUUAACCGAAAAAAUUUCGGUUCGGUUAAUUUUUUUGAAAAAAAAUUUCGGUUCGGUUAACGGUUAACGAUUUUGAAAGGUCGGUUAAUUCGGUUAAUGUUAUUUCGGGUCGGUUAACCGGUUAACCGAAUGAACACCCCUACUAAUAUCUAAUGGGUGUAUUUUCUAAGGUUGUAAAAUAGCCUAUUUAUAGGCUAAAUUCAUAUGUCAAAUAAUAAUAAAAUAAUCUAAAGUAAUCAGUGUUUGAUUGAAACAAUUAAACAGAGUUUAACUAGAAGAUUAUUUCUCAAAUUUGACUGAAAUAGAGUCAUACUUAACAAACAAGUUAGUCAAGUUAUUUACUCCUAGAUUGUAAUACGAUAAAAUUAUUAUGACUGUAACAAAAUUAGAAUUUGGUUAAGAAAAUAGCUUAAUUAAUUAAAAAUAAUAAAUAACAUUUUUGGUGUAGGAAAAAUAUUUAUUGGUCUAAGAAAAUUAUAUGAGUUGGUUUAAAGACUAUAUAAAACAUGUAAUUGACCUAAUAAAUGGAAAGGCCCAAAUAGGCCCAAUAUAGGGGGGAAGGGCGACAAAUCCUAGUCCUAUAAGUGACUUGUUGUUGCCCACCCGAUAGCACUCUAUAUAUGAGUAAUUUUUUCUAUUAAAAUAAUACUUAUUCAAUUGAAACUCAUGCUAUUUUCUCUAUGUAUAGAGAUUAAGUUCUAGACCAAAAAAAUAUAUAUAAAGACGUCGAUAUUCUGUUAAAAUAUAAAACAAUUAUUCUUAUUAUAUUGCAUCUUUUGAUGAGAAUUGAGCCCACAUUCUAGCAAACCAAGGUAAAUGAUAACAAAUAAGGUCUAUUGGUAUAAAGCCGAAAACAAUCUAUUCCGCCUCAAAGAGAACUCAGGUAUAAUCUUAAUAAAUGGGUUUAUUGUCAUUAACAUCAGACUAGUUGGUUUUGAAAUGAAUUUUUAAAAUUUUGCUAUCACUAUUUGGUUGUUUUUUAAUUUGAUUUUUCCAACAUAAAGCUGAUUCUGAAAAGUAGGAAAAUUGAAAAGAAAAGUAGAAGAGAAAAAGUAACAAUAAUGAAAAAAAGGAAGAAGAAAAAGAGAAAUGAAAAAUUAAAGAAAAAAAAGAGAGGAAAAUAAGCGAAAACAAUCGAUUAGGAGACGAAAUGAGCAAUCAAAUGUUUAAAUAAUUUCUCAUGAUUCUGUUACCCUUUGAAUGAAAAUUUGAGCCUUCGACAUCAUUUCUUUGUUAACCAUUAACCCCUAGACCACAUUACAACCCUGAGAAAGACCAUCUUUGAUCAAACAUGGUUAUUUAAAUUAAGCAGUCUUGGAAUUAAUGUGAGAAUUGCAAAAUUUCGACUAAAACAUUACAAACUGGAAAAGCAAAAGAACAAAAAUUUGGAGUUUGGGGUUUCAAUGUGAAAUCUUGAUCAGUUAUCACAAGUUGUGAUUUUUAAGUGGUUAGAAGUUUUGGAGCUUCAUUGUCAUGACGUAUCAAUGAGAAUCUGAGUUGUCUUGGAUGAAGUUUGCCUCCCAAGAAUUGGGCAUUUUUCCUUUUCGAUUACAAGAUUAUUAAGUGGAGAGUUAGUUGAAAGUUUGGUUUCGAUUGUUUUUGAAGUUCAUUAUACUAAUUCAUCUUCUAAAUAAAUUCUUGUCUUCCUUUUCGAUUGAUUUUUAAUUGGAAAAUAAAAAUCAUUGUUUGAAUAUUCCAAGAAAAUUUGAAAAAAGAAAGAAAGAAGAGAAACAUGAAUCUUUUGCAUAACGUUCUCAAAGUUCAGCAUGAUUAUGAUGAUUUAUAUUGUGUGUAAAAUUGCAUUCCUUUUGAUAAUUUCAUUUCAUUUCCAUUCUAAAUAAUAGUUGUGAGGUCUUAUUGCCACUGAAACAGCAAUCUUGCUGUUAUAUGAAUGUUAUUUUUUUGAAUGUUAUCAAAAAGAUUUGGGCAAAUGCAAUGCAGAAUCUAAACCAAAGUGUUUUUUAUUAUCUUGAUGGGUGUGGGAUGCGCCUUAUUUGAGAGGCAUACAUAAAUAAAAUGUAAAUAAUACUUAAGGCUACAACCUUAAGAACUGCUACCCCUUUUUUUUCAGGAAUAGGAAGUCAAGUAGGUGAGGAGAACAAGUUCAUCUCCAACCUUAGAAUAUUAAGUUACUUGAGAAACUAAAUCAGUUAACCAACAUCAGGCUCUGGGACUCAAAGAAAGAGUAAUAUCUUGGAAGACCUUAAGCCUCUUAUCAGUUUUCUUUGGAAACAUCCUUUGAGUCACUGCUUCAUUUGCUGGGCCUAGAACUGCAGCUGAAAUGAUAGCCUCCUCAAAGUCUUGGCUAUCUGGUAAUAAAUCAGCCAAUUUGUCUCCUUUCUCUUUAGUUGAAAGAGAGAGCCUUCUUCUUGUCUUAAUCUCUGGUUUUUCCAGUUCUUCAGAUAAAGGCUUUGUGCAGUCUCCACCCAUUUCAUUCACUCUUAUAGAGUUAGCUGAGUUUCCUGACCGUGUUCUUUUAAGGGUCUCAUGCAAUUGAUUCACAACUGGAGCUUUCACCUCCUUCACCAGCUUUGAUGAGUAAAAGGGUGGUGCAUCGAUAUUUAGCGAAUUUCCGAAAGGAAGAGCGACUGGUUUUGGUUGAGGAAUCACCACCUGGUUUACCGUUACAUUCGAAUUGAUGUUCUCAUCACCAAAAUCAUCUUGGGGUUUAACCGCAUUUGAUUUUGGCAAGCUGAUGGGGUCCUUGCAAGGUUGAGGUUGCCAAAUUGAUGAAGAACCAAGGAAGGCGUCAAAGAGCCGGCUUUGUUCGACCCGAUCCCCUCCUCCUUUAUUCAUCAUCUCCGACUCA
rnacentral:lncRNA from 1 species